ACCUCAAAGUUCAUGGAGAUUGGGGGCCGAGCCCACUUCUUCUUGUCAUUGGUGGGCAGCAGCUCGAUCUCUGCACUGAUCUGGGAUUCCUUCAUUCCAGCCAUACGUUUUAUCCUACCAGAGAAAACCCAGACGUGAGGAGCGUUGUGUAGGGAAGGA